AAUGUUUUUAGCGAUAUAAUAAUUUUGACUCAAUAGUUUAGUUUAGUUGAUAUUUCUUUCUCUCUGCGAACAGCAAUUGCUGCCAUGUGUUGAAGAAAUCCGUCAGCAGCAGAGGGAAAUGUAGAAGACGCAAUGACUGUACAAACAACUUUCAUCUCCUUCUGCGUAUUUGUCUUUUGUUUUUUCAUAGUAUUACUAUUUAUUUUAUUAGGCUGGUAUUUGGUUUGGCGUUUCUUCUUACAACGAUUUGGUUUCAUUCGUGAGCUUUAUGCCAGUGAGAAUUCUAAUUCACAAGAUGUCCCCAAACGAAGACGUGACAAGUCUAGAAAAGAUUAAUUUACAAUCUAAUGGAUUUAUUUCUGGUUGCAAGCUGGCUCAAAACUAUUUCGCUACUAAAACUUCCCAAUUUAUCACUGAGUCGUCAGCAAUCAGCAGGUGGACAAAUGGCUGGUACUAUCAAAAUAUGCAAUUAACGUUGUCACUAUUCAAAUUCAAAUUACCAGUAUUUUUAUGCCAUUUUUUAAUUACUACUAAUAAACCGUCCCAGAUGUUUAAACAGAACCGAAAUAUCAAAUGCUUAAACCAAUAGUUUCUGUAUGAAAGAUGUAAUGUUGAUGUGUUUGUGUAACUGUUUUAUAUAGAAAAUUAUUUAUAUUUAAAAAAGAAAUCAUGCUUUGUUUU
rnacentral:lncRNA from 1 species